AGGGGAGUGAAAAAGAACCUGAAACCGUGUACGUACAAGCAGUGGGAGCACGCUUAGGCGUGUGACUGCGUACCUUUUGUAUAAUGGGUCAGCGACUUAUAUUCUGUAGCAAGGUUAACCGAAUAGGGGAGCCGAAGGGAAACCGAGUCUUAACUGGGCGUUAAGUUGCAGGGUAUAGACCCGAAACCCGGUGAUCUAGCCAUGGGCAGGUUGAAGGUUGGGUAACACUAACUGGAGGACCGAACCGACUAAUGUUGAAAAAUUAGCGGAUGACUUGUGGCUGGGGGUGAAAGGCCAAUCAAACCGGGAGAUAGCUGGUUCUCCCCGAAAGCUAUUUAGGUAGCGCCUCGUGAAUUCAUCUCCGGGGGUAGAGCACUGUUUCGGCAAGGGGGUCAUCCCGACUUACCAACCCGAUGCAAACUGCGAAUACCGGAGAAUGUUAUCACGGGAGACACACGGCGGGUGCUAACGUCCGUCGUGAAGAGGGAAACAACCCAGACCGCCAGCUAAGGUCCCAAAGUCAUGGUUAAGUGGGAAACGAUGUGGGAAGGCCCAGACAGCCAGGAUGUUGGCUUAGAAGCAGCCAUCAUUUAAAGAAAGCGUAAUAGCUCACUGGUCGAGUCGGCCUGCGCGGAAGAUGUAACGGGGCUAAACCAUGCACCGAAGCUGCGGCAGCGACGCUGAUGCGUUGUUGGGUAGGGGAGCGUUCUGUAAGCCUGUGAAGGUGUGCUGUGAGGCAUGCUGGAGGUAUCAGAAGUGCGAAUGCUGACAUAAGUAACGAUAAAGCGGGUGAAAAGCCCGCUCGCCGGAAGACCAAGGGUUCCUGUCCAACGUUAAUCGGGGCAGGGUGAGUCGACCCCUAAGGCGAGGCCGAAAGGCGUAGUCGAUGGGAAACAGGUUAAUAUUCCUGUACUUGGUGUUACUGCGAAGGGGGGACGGAGAAGGCUAUGUUGGCCGGGCGACGGUUGUCCCGGUUUAAGCGUGUAGGCUGGUUUUCCAGGCAAAUCCGGAAAAUCAAGGCUGAGGCGUGAUGACGAGGCACUACGGUGCUGAAGCAACAAAUGCCCUGCUUCCAGGAAAAGCCUCUAAGCAUCAGGUAACAUCAAAUCGUACCCCAAACCGACACAGGUGGUCAGGUAGAGAAUACCAAGGCGCUUGAGAGAACUCGGGUGAAGGAACUAGGCAAAAUGGUGCCGUAACUUCGGGAGAAGGCACGCUGAUAUGUAGGUGAAGCGACUUGCUCGUGGAGCUGAAAUCAGUCGAAGAUACCAGCUGGCUGCAACUGUUUAUUAAAAACACAGCACUGUGCAAACACGAAAGUGGACGUAUACGGUGUGACGCCUGCCCGGUGCCGGAAGGUUAAUUGAUGGGGUCAGCGCAAGCGAAGCUCUUGAUCGAAGCCCCGGUAAACGGCGGCCGUAACUAUAACGGUCCUAAGGUAGCGAAAUUCCUUGUCGGGUAAGUUCCGACCUGCACGAAUGGCGUAAUGAUGGCCAGGCUGUCUCCACCCGAGACUCAGUGAAAUUGAACUCGCUGUGAAGAUGCAGUGUACCCGCGGCAAGACGGAAAGACCCCGUGAACCUUUACUAUAGCUUGACACUGAACAUUGAGCCUUGAUGUGUAGGAUAGGUGGGAGGCUUUGAAGUGUGG
rnacentral:rRNA from 1 species